rnacentral:rRNA from 1 species
UACGUAGGGUGCAAGCGUUGCCCGGAUUUAUUGGGCGUAAAGGGCGCGUAGGCGGCUCGGCACGUCCGUUGUGAAAUCGCUCGGCUCAACUGGGCGGGGUCAGCGGAUACGGCGUAGCUGGAGCAAGCUAGGGGGCAAUGGAAUUCCCGGUGUAGUGGUGGAAUGCGUAGAUAUCGGGAGGAACACCAGUGGCGAAGGCGGUUGCCUGGAGCUUUGCUGACGCUGAGGCGCGAAAGCGUGGGGAGCGAGUCCGG